GUUUUGAAGCUUUCUGAAAGGUAGCAAAAGUACUUUUCCCUCCCCUUUUUGGUCUAGUGGGGAUGGGGUGAGGGUGUGUGUGGAAGUCUUAGGGCUUCAUCUCACCAAACUGUGUGCUGUAACCAAGUGCAUGAGAAAACAUUUCUAAUGAAUCCUUCUCUUCUUACAGAAUUCCUCUCUCCAUUUCAUUGUCUUGUCUGAAGGGAAGGGAUAACUAGAUACAUACUGCAACAGUCCAAAUGAAAUAUGAUGAGAACUUUUGUAGAAGGUUUAGAUAAUUAAAAUUUUUAAAGCAUCUUGGUGAAAUUAUUUAUUCUGAUACUUUUCCUUUUUGAUUGGUGGUUCAAAGUAUGUACCUAGUACUUUAGUGAACUAGAUGCUUUUGAUAGGUAAUAUAUU
rnacentral:misc_RNA from 1 species